rnacentral:rRNA from 1 species
CACGUAGGGCGCAAGCGUUGUCCGGAAUUAUUGGGCGUAAAGAGCUCGUAGGCGGUCUGUUGCGUCCGCUGUGAAAACCCGGGGCUUAACCCCUGGCUUGCAGUGGAUACGGACAGACUAGAGGUAGGUAGGGGAGAAUGGAAUUCCCGGUGUAGCGGUGAAAUGCGCAGAUAUCAGGAGGAACACCGAUGGCGAAGGCAGGUCUCUGGGCCACUACUGACGCUGAGAAGCGAAAGCAUGGGGAGCGAACAGG